CUGAGGGGGUAACGAGCCGUUAGUGAUAGCGUAGGGACGGCGGCAGUGUAGAAAGAGGCCCGAACUAGUGAUCACUAGCCAGGCUUAGUUCGCUAGCCCUCGGCACUACAAUGCCCAGGAGGCCCCGCGCGGCGUAGCGCACCUGCGCACUCGGUGCCCUUACCCAGGUUUCUCUCGUUAACUCUCCUUUAUAAGUUUUUGUUUUGGUACUUAAUUGUGUAACUCGACAUCGGGCAUCGGUGUUGUUAAUUUUCCUCCUACCAUUCCCAUACCCCCAAAAGGGAAAAAUUCAAGACAAGUUUUGUAAACCUUAGUAAUGUAGGUAAAUGGUCUGAGCUGAGAGAUGUGGCCUGCACUUGGCGGAUCACCUUGACUUGGAGUGGACAGCGUAGUAGAGCCACAUACUGCAGGAAAAUAAAGUCUGAAGUGUUUUCAUUUCAGAAUAGAUCGAUGAAAACGAAAUCGUUUGAAACGUUCCAAACACAAGUUUGGAAGUCUAGCAGUGCCUUGCCUGGUUGCCAAGAGCAAGUCAAAGACCCUCCUUGUGAAAAUGUUGAGCCAAGCAGGGACAGGUUACACCUUCAACACCAAGAGAAGCCGGUUACG